rnacentral:rRNA from 1 species
GACGAAGGUGGCGAGCGUUGCUCGGAAUCACUGGGCUUAAAGCGGGCGUAGGCGGCUCAGCAAGUCGGGUGUGAAAACCCUUGGCUCAACCAAGGAACUGCACCCGAUACUACUGAGCUUGAGGUGUCUAGGGGCGACUGGAACUCUCGGUGGAGCGGUGAAAUGCGUAGAUAUCGAGAGGAACGCCAAUGGUGAAGACAGGUCGCUAGGGACAUCCUGACGCUGAGGCCCGAAAGCUAGGGGAG